AUUGCCCCAGUAACGGCGAGUGAAGCGGCAACAGCUCAAAUUUGAAAUCUGGCCCCUAGGGCCCGAGUUGUAAUUUGCAGAGGAUGCUUUUGGCGAGGUGCCUUCCGAGUUCCCUGGAACGGGACGCCAUAGAGGGUGAGAGCCCCGUCUGGUUGGAUACCGAGCCUCUGUAAAGCUCCUUCGACGAGUCGAGUAGUUUGGGAAUGCUGCUCUAAAUGGGAGGUAUAUGUCUUCUAAAGCUAAAUAUUGGCCAGAGACCGAUAGCGCACAAGUAGAGUGAUCGAAAGAUGAAAAGCACUUUGAAAAGAGGGUUAAAAAGUACGUGAAAUUGUUGAAAGGGAAGCGCUCAUGACCAGACUUGGGCCCGGUGAAUCACCCAGCGUUCUCGCUGGGGCACUUUGCCGGGCUCAGGCCAGCAUCAGUUUGCCUUGGGGGAUAAAGACUUCGGGAAUGUGGCUCCUCCGGGAGUGUUAUAGCCCGUUGUGUAAUACCCUGGGGCGGACUGAGGUUCGCGCAUCUUGCAAGGAUGCUGGCGUAAUGGUCAUCAGCGACCCGUCUUGAAACACGGACCAAGGAGUCGUCUUCGUAUGCGAGUGUUCGGGUGCAAAGCCCCUACGCGUAAUGAAAGUGAACGCAGGUGAGAGCUUCGGCGCAUCAUCGACCGAUCCUGAUGUUCUCGGAUGGAUUUGAGUAAGAGCAUACGGGGCCGGACCCGAAAGAAGGUGAACUAUGCUUGAAUAGGGUGAAGCCAGGGGAAACCCUGGUGGAGGCUCGCAGCGGUUCUGACGUGCAAAUCGAUCGUCAAAUUUGAGCAUGGGGGCGAAAGACUAAUCGAACCUUCUAGUAGCUGGUUUCCGCCGAAU
rnacentral:rRNA from 1 species